UUCUUCCAAACCACACGGUGAAAUCGGUUCUACCUACAACAAAAAUGGAAAAAUCUGUGUGAUCCUCGGUCAUGGCGAUUAAUUAUAUCCUUGAGCUGGAGCUGCUGAGAGAAGCGCCAAAAAGCAAAAAGUUCCAAAUAAAAAAGGAUCGUGCGAUUCUUGCUCUUGACUCACUCCGCUGUUCAAAUCCCCAAAAAUCAGAAAUAUAAAAUGUCACUACUUCCGCUGCUGAAGAUUGGCAGAGUGGGCCCGGACAAAAUACUCUCAUGGGUCUCCCAACAGAUUCGACGAAGAAGAAAAGAGGCACGACCCACGAAGAAUGCAACCCACUUUUGGAAUGCAGAAGUUACCGCGAUUACCGAAACAUAAUGUACAGCAGAAUUAGCCGAUGAAUUUGCCAUGGAAUCAGAUUUCCGUCACUCCCGCUACAUCGGAUUCUCGACAAGCAGAUAUGUCCGGCGACGCGUAAUUCUCAUCUCCCACGGCUUUCAAUUUAAAUUUUGAUUAAUUUGUUAUUGGGAAAUUUUAAAAAUAAAUUUAUAGAUAUUAA